rnacentral:rRNA from 1 species
UACAGAGGUCCCAAGCGUUGUUCGGAUUCACUGGGCGUAAAGGGUGCGUAGGCGGCGCGACAAGUUGGGUGUGAAAUCCCUCGGCUCAACCGAGGAACUGCGCCCAAAACUGUCGUGCUCGAGGGAGACAGAGGUGAGCGGAACUUAGGGUGGAGCGGUGAAAUGCGUUGAUAUCCUAAGGAACACCGGUGGCGAAAGCGGCUCACUGGGUCUCUUCUGACGCUGAGGCACGAAAGCUAGGGUAGCGAACGGG